AAGAACGGACCUCCAGAACAAAUUAAGUUCUUAACCCGAGGUACCACUGUACGUCUAAAAUAGGCUAAUACAGUGGUACCUCGGGUUAAGUACUUAAUUCGUUCCGGAG